AUUGAACGCUGGCGGCAGGCCUAACACAUGCAAGUCGAACGGUAGCACAGAGAGCUUGCUCUCGGGUGACGAGUGGCGGACGGGUGAGUAAUGUCUGGGAAACUGCCCGAUGGAGGGGGAUAACUACUGGAAACGGUAGCUAAUACCGCAUAACGUCGCAAGACCAAAGUGGGGGACCUUCGGGCCUCACACCAUCGGAUGUGCCCAGAUGGGAUUAGCUAGUAGGUGGGGUAAUGGCUCACCUAGGCGACGAUCCCUAGCUGGUCUGAGAGGAGUACCAGCGACACUGGAACCGAGACACGGUCCAGACUCCUACGGGAGGCAGCAGUGGGGAAUAUUGCACAAUGGGCGCAAGCCUGAUGCAGCCAUGCCGCGUGUAUGAAGAAGGCCUUCGGGUUGUAAAGUACUUUCAGCGGGGAGGAAGGCGGUGAAGUUAAUAACUUCACCGAUUGACGUUACCCGCAGAAGAAGCACCGGCUAACUCCGUGCCAGCCGCCGCCGUAA
rnacentral:rRNA from 1 species